UCUUGCUUGUGGUGUCUUGAUUAAAAACGAACAAACAAACAAAAUCAAAAAAUGCUCUUGUGAGAGGGGAUUGUCAUCAUAUUUGUUUCAUGGAUAAGGAAAUGAGGCUUUAAGUAGCCGAAGGGACUUGCCCAAGGUCUCACAACCAACACAGAGAAGAUGCAGGAAUUGAACUCAGAUUUACUUGACCCCAAAGCUGUGCCUUCCCCAAGACACCAUGCUGUUCCUUUGACUUGAGGAUCAGGAAUAUAGGAUUUGGAGUUUGUAAUUCCAGGAUGUGAGGUCUGAGAGUGCUGGUGCUUUGAGAGUCCACAUUGUCUUGGCUGGGAGCAGUCUGAGUGAGUAACUUGUUUUCAGAGUGGUUACAGUGUUGACAGGGAUUGCAACCUCAGUGUCAUACACCCCCAUUUUCUGCCUUCCAAAAUUAGUGCUCUAGCCUCACAGUAUGAUUUUUGGGGUUUCCAGGAGUGGGGUCAGGUGAGUACUGGAGGACAGCAAGAGUCAUCACAUUAAUGACCCACUGAAAGUCAGGAAAUCCAUGAUCACCUAGAGAUGAACUUCCUGGUUAGGAAGCCAUGACCAGGUGGACCAAUGGAGACAGAGGCUUUUGCCAGUGAGGGCCCCAUAUGUAAAGAGCUGUAACCCUGGGGCUGGGUCUCAUGGGGACUGCUGCCUUUUUUGCAGGAGUGUUCCAGGAGUGGAUCACUGGCUCUUCAAGGAGCUCAGAGCUGCUCUGGGGAGACCUAAGUAUUUGGGGACUUCCCCAGGAUGCAGAUAUGUAAAGGGUCAACCACGACACAGCAGCAGAAGUAGAAAAGAAGAGGCCUGUUCAUGAGCUUUUAAGAGACUGUAAGCUCCUUCAAGGUGGGCUCCUCAUCCACAUUUGGGUCCUUCUCUGUACCAGAGACGGUGCUGACCAGAUCUGCUGGUGACCAGGAGCUGCUUGUGGAGUGAAUGAAAGAUUCAAGGAGAGCUCAACCAACUGAGGAACUUCCAGCUCUCACCUCCCUGCAG